UUUAUAAAAGCACUGCAUGGAAAAGCAAAAAGCUGGGGUUCUAAUUAAGCCUUUAGAGACAUUAAUUACGAAUGAAUUAAUUACCUAAUAAAGUUAUAAUUAAACAAUUAAUCGUGCAGCUAAAGAUUAGUUUUCAGAUAACAUUCAAGAAAUUGAGUAAGGAAUAUCCUUAAUUAUCGGUCCCCCAACUUGACCGCCUUAAAAACAAAGGAAGGUAUACAUAGAAUUGAACGUAUACCAAAAUUUACAAAAGCAAUCAUUCAAGUGCUUAUCUUUGUUCUAUAACAAAGUAGAUUAUAAUUGUGCAAGUACAUGUUAAUACGCAAAGAGGAGUGCUAGGAUUCGAUCAGUGUUGGCAGUCUCGACCCCACUUGCCUUGGAUGUCCCAAAAGCAAGAAUGAUAUGAUUAACCGAUACAAAUGUGAAUGAUUUAUCGUAACAUUUUGAAUUAUGCAAACUUUAUUUUGUAUCAACGGCAGAGUCAGAAAUUAUUCAGUGAGUGAGUUAAGCAAAAAUUAUUACUACGAAAUCAAAUAUUCAUCUUUUUUUUGUUGCCUACAUAAAGUUAAACAAUA
rnacentral:lncRNA from 1 species